GGGUCUGCCAGGUAAUACUGGACCACAGGGACAACAAGGACCCCCAGGACCAGUUGGAGCACCAGGAGCACCAGGAGCUCCAGGACCAGGUGGGCCAACAGGGCUACAAGGGGAUCAAGGAGUUCCUGGUCCUGCUGGUACCAAAGGCGAUAAAGGAGAAAGAGUAAGUCUUUCCACUGUUUUGCAGCUCUUUAGAGCA